GCGUGGGUCGGCCUGCUGAACUGCACCCAGUGGGCCGGGGGAGGCCGUCGCCCCAUAUCCCCGCGGGCGGCGGCACGGUCCGGAGGGCGAGCCGUCCUCCGGACCGUC
rnacentral:ncRNA from 1 species